UACGUAGGGGGCAAGCGUUGUCCGGAAUCAUUGGGCGUAAAGAGCGUGUAGGCGGCCAGAAAAGUCCGCUGUGAAAACUCGAGGCUCAACUUCGAGCUGUCGGUGGAAACUUUCUGGCUAGAGUCCGGAAGAGGAGAAUGGAAUCCUGGUGUAGCGGUGAAAAUGCGCAGAUAUCAGGAGGAACACCGGUGGCGAAGGCGGGACUCUGGGCCGAUACUGACGCUGAGGAGCGAAAGCGUGGGGGAGCAAACAGG
rnacentral:rRNA from 1 species